AUUGAACGCUGGCGGCAGGCCUAACACAUGCAAGUCGAGCGGAUGAAGGGAGCUUGCUCCUGGAUUCAGCGGCGGACGGGGGGGUAAUGCCUAGGAAUCUGCCUUGUAGUCGGGGAUAAGGUCCGGAAACGGGCGCUAAUACCGCAUACGACCAGAUGUAGAAAGUGGGGGAUCUUCGGACCUCACGCUAUCAGAUGAGCCUAGGUCGGAUCAGCUAGUUGGAGGGGUAAAUGGCUACCAAGGCGACUAACCGUAACUGGUCUGAGGGGAUGAACAGUCACACUGGAACUGAGACACGGUCCAGACUCCUACGGGAGGCAGCAGUGGGGAAUAUUGGGCAAUGGGCGAAAGCCUGAUCCAGCAAUGCCGCGUGAGUGAAGAAGGUCUUCGGAUUGUAAAGCACUUUAAGUUGGGAGGAAGGAAAGUAAGUUUAUCCCUUGCUGUUUUGACGUUACCGACAGAAUAAGCACCGGCUAACUUCGUG
rnacentral:rRNA from 1 species